GCAACUUAACCGCCAACCGAAUAGCCAGAAAAAGGACGGUUCGACUAUUCGAAAAGCACUAGUCGACUAAUGUUGUAUUCGAAUAACUCGUUUAACUUGUCGUCAAUCUUAUUUUGUAGUCUACCUUCAGAAGAGUUGUCCUUUUCUUGAGAAACAAAUAAAAUUUCAAGAAAAGAGAAAUAUUAAAAAUCUCCUUACCGCUACGAGAGACAUGUAAGAGAGAGCACACUGUAUACAAAUUACUCAAAAUCCUAUUUACACAUCAUCCAGGUACAUAUAGUAUGUAUAUAUCUAAAUGUACUCGCAUACGCGGGUAUAAAAUCAAGAGCCCUAAGUGAGUGCUAGUCAUUUUCGGUUGUCGCACAAGUCUGGAUGUGUCCAUCAGAACAAUUAAAGUGGCGCUCGUAAAUCGCAUCAUUAGUUGACUAGACUCCAACGCAACUUGUUAUUCAAAAGUUACCUGCAAUCAACUUACACAACAUCUAUAAACACAUCCAUAUAUAAUAGAUGUACUUAUUUAUUAAAUUAAAAUAAUUUAUUAUAUACAUAUACAUAUAUGUACGUUAAUUUAUAAGUUGCAUAUAAUUUUAUAUGCUAGUGAUAGUAGUUUUAGAAAAACAAAAUUUUUUUACGACAUUUGCAUUUACAUAUCAAGAACUAACAGGGAAUAGAAGAAAUUCCAGCUGAAAUGUUGGUACAUGGUAUUCCUCUCCUUGUACAAAUGGAUUCACUUGAUUUAUUGAUUACCUUUUGUUGGCUAAUUUGUGCUCUUCUAUUCGGUCCAAUCUUGUUCUUUCUAUGCAUUUACUUACCUGAAUUACCUGUUAGAUAUAUAAAACACAUCCGAUCAAUGAGUUAAAAAUAUGCUUGUGUAUACAAAUCUACAACUGUAUUUAAAUGUAAGCAAUUAAUUAUUAAAUUUUGUAUAGUAUUGUCUACUAAAUAAGUUUUAAUGCGACUUGUAUUGCAAUAAAUAUCUAUGGAAAUCACAAAAUUUAUGUUUGUAUUCACUUAUUGAAGUUCAUUGACUUUGUCAUGAAUGCACUGAUAAGUUGAAAUGUUGUUGUUGUUGUAGCAAAAUAAACAUUUAUUUAUUACAUUUUA